rnacentral:tmRNA from 1 species
GGGGGCGAAUUGGGUUCGACCGGGCAAAUGAGGUCGAGGCCGCGUGUCCAGGUUGUCAGGAGGCCUGGUUAAACACCUGGCGAAACUAUUAAAUGCCAACGGACAACCGUUGCGUAUGGCUGCCUAAAAAGGCAACCCGUCCCAUCGACGACACCUGCUGAUUGAUGGGGCGAAGACAGCAGGUCCGCUCGCGAGGGUAGGCGACGUGACACGCGAGUAUGUACAUCACGACGCUGGGCCGACCGCAGCCUGCCGCUGGGCGUCGGAAGGUCGAGAUCAAACCAGACGGCUACGCACGUAGAAACCUCGGUUGAAUUGUCACGGGACGGGGGUUCGAUUCCCCCCGCCUCCAUUC